CGAGGCGUAGCGCAGCUGGGAGCGCGUCGCGUUCGGGACGCGAAGGUCGUGGGUUCAAAUCCCGUCGCCUCGACCA
rnacentral:tRNA from 1 species